CUCUACACUGGAAGAAGUACAUCACUCCUACAACCAGAAGUCUGGAUCUCUGAGGGGAAGACAUAAAAGGAAAAUCAAGCUUCUUAAUAACCAAGUCACACACAGGGAGUAAAUAUACAGGGAGGUGCAAUGCCCUUUUUCAAGGACUUCAGAGAAUCAACUUAACCCUGAUGGUGGGGAAAAGGCAACUACCACAUCCAAAAGAUGGCAUCUCUGAC